AUUGAACGCUGGCGGCAUGCCUUACACAUGCAAGUCGAACGGUAACAGGUCUUCGGAUGCUGACGAGUGGCGAACGGGUGAGUAAUACAUCGGAACGUGCCUAGUAGUGGGGGAUAACUACUCGAAAGAGUGGCUAAUACCGCAUGAGAUCUACGGAUGAAAGCAGGGGAUCGCAAGACCUUGUGCUACUAGAGCGGCCGAUGGCAGAUUAGGUAGUUGGUGGGAUAAAAGCUUACCAAGCCGACGAUCUGUAGCUGGGCUGAGAGGACGAUCAGCCAGACUGGGACUGAAACACGGCCCAGACUCCUACGGGAGGCAGCAGUGGGGAAUUUUGGACAAUGGGCGAAAGCCUGAUCCAGCAAUGCCGCGUGCAGGAUGAAGGCCUUCGGGUUGUAAACUGCUUUUGUACGGAACGAAAAGCCCCGGGUUAAUACCCUGGGGUCAUGACGGUACCGUAAGAAUAAGCACCGGCUAACUACGUGCCAGCAGCCGCCGUAA
rnacentral:rRNA from 1 species